rnacentral:rRNA from 1 species
CCAUUUCGCCCCUUAGAGUUUGAUCAUGGCUCAGAACGAACGCUGUCGGCAGGCUUAACACAUGCAAGUCGUACGAAGCCUUCGGGCUUAGCUGGCGGACGGGUGAGUAACGCGUGGGAACGUGCCCCUUGGUACGGAAUAGUCCCUGGAAACGGGGUUUAAUACCGUAUGACCUCUGAGGAGGAAAGAGGUUAUCGCCGAGGGAUCGGCCCGCGUUGGAUUAGGUAGUUGGUGGGGUAAUGGCCUACCAAGCCGACGAUCCAUAGCUGGUUUGAGAGGAUGAUCAGCCACACUGGGACUGAGACACGGCCCAGACUCCUACGGGAGGCAGCAGUGGGGAAUCUUAUACAAUGGGGGAAACCCUGAUCUAGCCAUGCCGCGUGAUCGAUGAAGGCCUUAGGGUUGCAAAGAUCUUUCGCUGGGGAAGAUAAUGACGGUACCCAGUAAAGAAGCCCCGGCUAACUCCGUGCCA